UACGUAGGUGGCAAGCGUUGUCCGGAUUUACUGGGCGUAAAGGGCGUGCAGGCGGUCUGUUAAGUUCAGGGUGAAAGCUCCCGGCUCAACUGGGAGAGGUCCUUGGAUACUGGCAGACUUGAGGGAGGUAGAGGAGAGUGGAAUUCCCGGUGUAGUGGUGAUAUGCGUAGAUAUCGGGAGGAACACCAGUGGCGAAGGCGACUACCUGGCCUGUUCUUGACGCUGAGGCGCGAAAGCUAGGGUAGCAAACGGG
rnacentral:rRNA from 1 species